CAACACCUUCCCAAUUGGCUCCCCUGGCUGGCCUUGUGGCUGGGGCGCGUCCCCUAGCUGCGGGUAUAGCUGCCGGUGGCGCGGCCGCCUCCUCCGCGCUAUAGGCCGACGAGGGAGAACCUCAAGCCAAUAUGUGUCGACAUCGAGGUGGACGGCCAGCGCUACAGAGACACUUUCACCUGGAACCCGCAAGGUACCUGACCUCAUCCGCUCCUCACUUCAUUCAUCUCCGGUUCGCGUCACGUUCUCGCUCGCUGUGUGGAUUGAUUCGCUUCUUCCUUGCGGCUAGCCAGCAGAUCCCAACUCAGGAGAUCAUUAGCUUGGCCAAGUAGAUGGCCAAGGACCUCAAGCCGCCAUCCAAUUUUGUCCCAAGAUGUCAGAAAAUGCUGACAUCACAUUUAUGCAGUUGUGCCUAUCUAAUUGAGCUGCUGACCGUAUAGAGGUUGGGAUCUGGACACACAGAGGUUGAGUGCACAUCCAAUUUGUGACAGCAGAAACUUCAAUUCGUGGUAUUUUAUGUAUCUACUGUUGUAUAUACUUACCUUUUCAAGUUCCUCCUAAAAUACCACGAAUUGAUAAAUGUAUUGAUAAAAUACCACGAAUUCGCAUGGAUAAUACUACGUUUUUAUGAAAAAAAACUUGUAUAAAAACUGAGACAAACUGUUUAAAAACUGAGACAAACUGUUAUACUCACGGUAUAAAUGUGUGUGGCUUGUGGUCUAUUCUAUGCAGACAUAUACUGUAGGAUGAGAAAUCCACUUAAGUACCUGUAUCAAGAUUCACGAUCAGCAAUAUAUAGAAAUAGUUAAACCAUAUGUAUUUGUUAUCUCUUAUUUAUUAGCGCCUUUUGUUCAGUAGACAUUGCAGCCCUUCGUGUUCUAUCUAGCUCGCGCUUACGCUCUUUUGGACACGUGACAAUGUCAUUGAUGGGACUGGAUGUAUUGACAACACCUAUAUAUAAUAAAAAAAGUAUGAUUUCCAAUAAAUUAUAGAGGUACAUUAAUUCCGUGUUACAUUGUCAUGAAUGACAAUUGGGUUGGCCACUCUAUUUUUUCUUCUCAAAUAGAUAACAUUAAUAAAAAAAUAAUGUACUUGGGUUUAGAUCAGGUGAUGCAACAGUCAAGUCAAGCAUGCCACUUUGAUCUACACAUCUAUCGGAGUAAUUAUCUACAUAUGUAUAAUAAUAUUAAAUUAACCUUAGCCUUACCAUCAUACAAACACAAGAACAAAAUAAUAAUUAAUCAGUAAAAAAAAGCAAAAUGGUACAUGUGUUUUCUUUAUCACUCGGCAUAGGUUUAUAUGAAUUGUAUCGAUGUAGCCAGUCACUAUCUUCAUAGCCAUUGGUGUUUUCCGUGGAUGAUUUAAAUCCAUCUGGUACAACAUAAUUAUAUUCUAAAUAAGCAAACAAAUGACUAAUACAAGUAGGUGAUAUACAAUACUAUAUGUCUCACAUAAACGAAAAAAUGGUAAUACAAAAUUCAAAAACGGAAAAUUAGAAUACGGUGGACCUCUAGACCCAGCAGCUAGUGAAGUUUCUGCCUUUUUUGAUGAUAUUUUUCUCUACGUUUUUUAUUUUUUUCAUCCCUUUGUUCUUGAGUCAUUGUUGCAUGUCUUGCCUUUUCUCUUUCCCUUUUACAUUGCACACGUUCAUCAUCCCUUUUACAUUGCACACGUUCAUCAGCUUGCACUUGUGAAUUUGAUGUUGUAUGAACAGCUGUUUGAAAAUAAGUUCAUACAAAUUUACUUAAUCACCACCAAUAAUACAAGUGAGUGUGUUUGGAAAAAUGUAUGAACAAUUACCUCCAUUAAUGGAGUUUGUCAAGUCUGCAAAUGGCGUACGACCUUCAUUGUUUUGUAUAGGUUUCAUUAUGAACAAUCUCUUCCUGAUAUCAGAUGAUAGAAAUUAGAUGCUCUAGCUUUCCCAAAGAAGGAAUACACAUGAGCUAGACGAAAACACAUAAUUCAACAUGUUUUGAUUUACGGUUAGGACCUUAUGAAGAGCAAUAUGGGUCUAUUUGGAUCUAGAGGGCUAACAGACAUGGUUGAGUAAGAGCAAAAAAAAAUUCAGAAUUGGCAUUGUGACAAGGAGACCAGUUAUCAUUUAAGGUUUUCAAAACCAUUUGAACCUAAGAGGAUCAGAUGGUUGGAACACCUGAACAUGACAACAUGUGUUUUAUGAGGUGAUAACGGUAAUACCUUGGCUCUUUGGAAGUGGUUCAAUUGCCUUUUGUGCUAACCUGACAAGACAAGCUGCCCUUCGACCAACUUGACAACUUCAAGUGCGCAAAGUAGCUUAAAUAACAGCAAUGCAAACUGAAAAUGACAAGAGCUUGAGCAAUGAAGAAUGCGCAAAGUAGCUUUCUCUCUUUGCUUAGAUGAACAAGCUAAUAGUAUCUGGCAAUGGUUUGACAAAGAGAUCAGUCUGGUAAACAAUAUUUUUUUCAGGGAAUAAGGGCUACCAGUCAAGAUCUUUGCAAAAAUGCAACCAAUGCUCCACAUAUAAAAUUAUAGCAGGCAGCGAUACCCAGUUCAAAUUGCAUAGAUUAUAUUGUUAAAACUAAAAGUUGGAUAUAUUAGAGAAUAGAGAAUGUAUGAGCACCGCGAAAAUUAGAUAGCACAUAUUACAUUGUUUAAAAUUGAAAACUGGAUAAUAAGAUAUUUAAAACUGAAAAUUUAGAAAUUCAGACUGCAAGAUGACCAGGAGAUCAACAACACAAAAAGAUAUUACGGUUGAGCGGUUAGGGUUGGCAGAUUUUGCACAGCAGAAAGCAAAAAGAAGCGGGAUGGCUUUGGCCUCACCAGCGUCGUGUUCCUGUGCCGAGCUCGUCACCAGCUUCCUGUGUCGAUUCGUCGUCACCAGCGGUUGAUAGGUGCGUCCGGCAACCG
rnacentral:lncRNA from 1 species